UGUCCAGACUCCUACGGGAGGCAGCAGUGGGGGAUAUUGCACAAUGGGGGAAACCCUGAUGCAGCGACGCCGCGUGGGUGAAGAAGCGCCUCGGCGCGUAAAGCCCUGUCAGCAGGGAAGAAAAUGACGGUACCUGAAGAAGAAGCCCCGACUAACUACGUGCCAGCAGCCGCGGUAAUACGUAGGGGGCAAGCGUUAUCCGGAUUUACUGGGUGUAAAGGGGGCGCAGACGGCGAUGCAAGCCAGGAGUGAAAGCCCGGGGCCCAACCCCGGGACUGCUCUUGGAACUGCGUGGCUAGAGUGCAGGAGGGGCAGGCGGAAUUCCUGGUGUAGCGGUGAAAUGCGUAGAUAUUAGGAGGAACACCAGUGGCGAAGGCGGCUCACUGGACUGUAACUGACGUUGAGGCUCGAAAGCGUGGGGAGCGAACAGGAUUAGAUACCCGUGUAC
rnacentral:rRNA from 1 species